CAACUUUGGAAGUCAGGAAGCCAGCACGUUGGGGGAUGCGGUAUCACAAUUUCUUGGUGAGACAAGCUGUCCUGGUAGCUUGUCCUCUCCCAUCAGGUAGGAGAGGUUAAAGAACAGGCAGGCUCCCCGUCUGCAUGGCGGAACAGCUCUGAAGGCAUGGAGGAGCGAGGCUGAAGGUGGGGGCCUUCGCCCAUCAUGCCGGAAGCUGAAAUUUCUUGUUACCUGCAAGUGAUCGCAGGGCUGCAGGACUACAAUCCCAGCGUGCACAGGGAUCAGGGACUGUGCGCAUCACUGGAGGAAGGGGCAGAGCUGCGCGCGCCUGGCUGAGCAUGCUAGGACAUGUAAUCUCAUGGCCAGUCCCAGCCCUUCGGCCACAAGGCUGCAGGACUACAAUCCCAGCCUGUACCAGGCUCGGGGGCGGUUCGCAACCCCAGAGGAAGGGGCAGGGCGGUGCGCGCCGCGCCUGGUAUGCUGGGAGUUGUAGUCUCUUUACUGCUCUCAGCCCAUGGGUAGGUAGCUUCAGAACUACAAUCCCAGUAUGCAUCGGGGUGGUGCGUAACCCUGGAGGGAGGGGCAGACACUUAACCUGUGUCUAAAGCACUGCUGGCCGCCGAUUCUACGCCGCCCGGUCGCCAGGGAGAGUGAAUACAGCUAGGGACGUGAAAGAACGGGGAAGAUAACCGAAGGGUGGUUUGAGAAACCCACCAGGCCAACUGGGAAUUAGAAUUGAUUCAAAACUCCAUUGAUCGCCUGACCUCCAUAAGCUCCUACUCUGCUGCAGUUGAGUGCUGCCACUUAAAUCCUGCAGUCCCGAGAUCCGGUUAUAACCAAUGCAUUUAGAUUUUUCAUUUCGGUGGCAACAAUCUUCAUUGUAAGUUCUGUCCUACAGAGAAGUGUGGUGAUCAAGCUCUUUGGAGAUACUGGGACUCCUCUCACAAAUGUAUGUCUCACAGUUAUGAUGAAUGGUGUAUCUCCUGGAUCUUCCUCAAUGCUUCUUAGAGACAAGGCCUCACUCCAUUGCCCCUAGGCCAGGCCUGGUGAGUGACAGCAGCCCUGGUGCCCCAGCCUGCUAGGGCAAUGUGUCACCCAGAGGCUUCAAGGCCCUUCUCACCAUGGUACCCACCUCCUCGAAGCUGCCUCCCAAAGCCCUCUAGCUGCUGCUGCAGCCACAACAAGUGCCACCACCAGGGGCCUUCCAGCUGCCAGUGCAGGCUUUCCAGAGCCGGGGACUGGGGAACCUGCAGUCAUCACCUCAGCAAUUCUGGUGGCAGCCAGGCCAGCCAGGGCAGCGAUGAUGACCGUAAUGAAAAGUGGGAUGACAGCUCCACACUGGUGGAUGAGUUGAGAACACCAGGCAGAGGCAUGUACCUGGUCUUUGAUGGUUCAGUGGACCUGCACUACCAUUGCAGUGCAAAGUGCAAGAGUUGAAGCUUGGAAACCUUCACCUAGAUUUAGGAAGAUUCAUGGAAAAGUCUGGAUGUCCACGCAGAAGCCUGCUGCACGAGUGGAACCCUCAUGGAGAAUCUCUACCAGGGCAGUGUGGAGGGGAAAUGUGGGGUUGGAGCCCCCACACAGAGUCCCACUGGAGGACUUCCUAGUGGAGCUAUGAGAAGAGAACCACUGUCCUCCUGACAUCAUAAUGGUAGAUCCACUGGCAGCUUGCACUCUCAGCCUGAAAAAGCUACAAGUACUCAAGGCCAGCCCUUGAGAGCAUCUACAGGUGCUAAACCCUGG
rnacentral:lncRNA from 1 species